CUCCAGGUGGCGUUUUACAUAUAAACGUUACUCAAUGGACUACGAAGGAGACUUUACAAUUAAUAACAAAUCUCAAGACAGACAGUGUAUAUUUAAAUUGGACCUCAUUGGAAAUUGGGCUGGACUCCUGCCUGAUGGGCGUUCCUGAUGCUCUUUAUGUGAUGUAGACAAAGAAGCCACAAUUAUCAGGAAAGAAUAUCCGGACUCAAUCGUGAAAGGGCAACAGAACUUAACAAUUAUUCAUAGAUAGCCAAAAUAUGUAUCACUCAUCAAGCUUCAUGCCAGCUGGGCUUUCCGGGCAAGAAAUUCUCGAUAUAAAAUUUUGGAUAUGAAAUAAUUAAAAUAUAGUGUAAAUUUUAUUGUUUAAAUGUUUCCUCUGCAAUAAUCUCAAAAAUAAAUAUUAGCAAUAUGUAGUACGGUAAUUCUUGUAGGCAUUAUGUUUAUUAAUAUUGUAUUAUUACUGCUAAUGUUUAUCUUAUUAAUAGAGAAAGUAAGCCGUUUGUUGUAAAGAAUAUAGACAUGUAAGAUAAUAAGAUAUAACAUUUUGAGGAUUAAAAUCUGAUUUAUUGA